rnacentral:rRNA from 1 species
UCGGACCAGCCGAUGGAUAGUCAGUAAAGAAUCAGAAUUACCUGGAAAGGUAAGCCGGAGAGGGUGACAGCCCCGUACGAGUAGAAAAGCUGACUGUUCUUGAGUAAGGCGGAGCACGAGAAAUUCUGUCUGAAAAUGGGGAGACCACUCUCCAAGGCUAAGUACUACUGAUUGACCGAUAGUGAACAAGUACCGUGAGGGAAAGGUGAAAAGCACCCCUAUAAGGGGAGUGAAAGAGAACCUGAAACCGGAUGCCUACAAGCAGUCGGAGGGUCAUAAGGCCUGACGGCGUACCUUUUGUAUAAUGGGUCAGCGACUUAAUUUAUGUAGCAAGCUUAAGCCGAUAGGUGUAGGCGUAGAGAAAUCGAGUGUUAACAGCGCGUUAAGUUACAUGAAUUAGACCCGAAACCGAGUGAUCUAGCCAUGAUCAGGUUGAAGGUUGGGUAACACCAACUGGAGGACCGAACCCACUCCCGUUGAAAAGGUAGGGGAUGAAUUGUGGCUAGGGGUGAAAGGCCAAUCAAACUCGGAAAUAGCUGGUUCUCCGCGAAAACUAUUUAGGUAGUGCGGUGAGCGGACACCUUGAGGGGUAGAGCACUGGAAGAGCUAAGGGGGAGCGAUCCUUACUAAACUUUACCAAACUCCGAAUACUCAAGAGUGAUACUCACCAGACAGACAUUAGGUGCUAAGGUCUAGUGUCGAGAGGGAAAGAGCCCAGACCGCCAAUUAAGGUCCCAAAAUUAUGGCUAAGUGGUAAAGGAAGUGAAACGUCCAAAACAGUCAGGAGGUUGGCUUAGAAGCAGCCAUCCUUUAAAGAAAGCGUAAUAGCUCACUGAUCUAAAUAAGACGUCUUGCGCCGAAGAUGUAACGGGGCUAAAGCCAUAUACCGAAGUUGCGGAUUUACACGUUAAAGUGUAAGUGGUAGCGGAGCGUUCUGUAAGCCUGCGAAGGUGUACCGUAAGGUAUGCUGGAGGUAUCAGAAGUGAGAAUGCUGACAUGAGUAGCGAAAAGAAGAGUGAGAGACUCUUCCGCUGAAAGUCCAAGGUUUCCUGCGUAAAGCUAAUCUGCGCAGGGUUAGUCGGUCCCUAAGGCGAGGCAGAGAUGCGUAGUCGAUGGCAAUCAGGUUAAUAUUCCUGAACCGGCCCGGAAGUGACGGAUUGAGUAAAUUGUAAGUUCUUAUUGGAUUGAGCUUGCAGUGAAUCAGUCCCAGGAAAUAGCCCGGGCUAAGACCGUACCCGAAACCGACACAGGUGGACAGGUAGAGAAUACCAAAGCGCUUGAGAGAACUAUGUUGAAGGAACUAGGCAAAAUACUUGCGUAACUUCGGGAUAAGCAAGCCCCAUUUUAAGGCAACUUAGGGUGGGGGGCACAUACUAGGGGGUAGCGACUGUUUACUAAAAACACAGGGCUCUGCUAAAUUGAAAGAUGAAGUAUAGGGUCUGACGCCUGCCCGGUGCUGGAAGGUUAAGGAGAGAUGUGCAAGCAUUGAACUGAAGCCCCAGUAAACGGCGGCCGUAACUAUAACGGUCCUAAGGUAGCGAAAUUCCUUGUCGGGUAAGUUCCGACCUGCACGAAUGGCGUAACGACUUCCCCGCUGUCUCCAACAUAGGCUCAGCGAAAUUGAACUCUGAGUUAAGAUGCUCAGUACCCGCGGUUAGACGGAGAGACCCCGUGAACCUUUACUAUAGCUUUGCAGUGGUAUUAGGUAACAAAUGUGUAGAAUAGGUGGGAUGCUAUGAAGCUACGACGCCAGUUGUAGUGGAGCAGACUUUGAAAUACCACCCUUUUGUUGUUUGAUAUCUAACCUGCUCCCGUUAUCCGGGAGAGGGACCCUGCAUGGUGGGUAGUUUGACUGGGGCGGUCGCCUCCCAAAGAGUAACGGAGGCGCGCAAAGGUUGGCUCAGAUUGGUCAGAAAUCAAUCGUUGAGUGCAAUGGCAUAAGCCAGCCUGACUGCGAGAGCGACGGUUCGAGCAGAUACGAAAGUAGGUCAUAGUGAUCCGGUGGUCCCGAGUGGAAGGGCCAUCGCUCAACGGAUAAAA